rnacentral:rRNA from 1 species
UACGUAGGGACCAAGCGUUGUUCGGAUUUACUGGGCGUAAAGGGCGCGUAGGCGGUUUAUUAAGUGAGAUGUGAAAGCCCUGGGCUUAACCUAGGAACGGCAUCUUAUACUGGUAGCUAGAGUAUUGUAGAGGGUAGUGGAAUUUCCGGUGUAGCGGUGAAAUGCGUAGAGAUCGGAAGGAACACCAGUGGCGAAGGCGGCUACCUGGACAAAUACUGACGCUGAGGCGCGAGAGCGUGGGGAGCAACAGGA